GACGGAGGGUGCAAGCGUUAUUCGGAAUCAUUGGGCGUAAAGGGUGUGCAGGCGGUCGGUCAAGUCAGAGGUGAAAGCCCGGGGCUCAACCUCGGAAGUGCCUUUGAAACUGGUCGACUUGAGUUCGGGAGAGGGAAGCGGAAUUCCGGGUGUAGAGGUGAAAUUCGUAGAUAUCCGGAGGAACACCGGUGGCGAAGGCGGCUUCCUGGACCGAAACUGACGCUGAGACACGAAAGCGUGGGGAGCAAACAGG
rnacentral:rRNA from 1 species